CCUACGGGAGGCUGCAGUGGGGAAUAUUGCACAAUGGGCGCAAGCCUGAUGCAGCCAUGCCGCGUGUGUGAAGAAGGCCUUCGGGUUGUAAAGCACUUUCAGCGGGGAGGAAGGCGGUGAGGUUAAUAGCCUCAUCGAUUGACGUUACCCGCAGAAGAAGCACCGGCUAACUCCGUGCCAGCAGCCGCGGUAAUACGGAGGGUGCAAGCGUUAAUCGGAAUUACUGGGCGUAAAGCGCACGCAGGCGGUCUGUCAAGUCGGAUGUGAAAUCCCCGGGCUCAACCUGGGAACUGCAUUCGGAACUGGCAGGCUAGAGUCUUGUAGAGGGGGGUAGAAUUCCAGGUGUAGCGGUGAAAUGCGUAGAGAUCUGGAGGAAUACCGGUGGCGAAGGCGGCCCCCUGGACAAAGACUGACGCUCAGGUGCGAAAGCGUGGGGAGCAAACAGGAUUAGAUACCCGAGUAGUC
rnacentral:rRNA from 1 species